GACGAACGCUGGCGGCGUGCUUAACACAUGCAAGUCGAACGGAAAGGCCCUGCUUUUGUGGGGUGCUCGAGUGGCGAACGGGUGAGUAACACGUGAGUAACCUGCCCUUGACUUUGGGAUAACUUCAGGAAACUGGGGCUAAUACCGGAUAGGGGCCCCUGCUGCAUGGUGGGGGUUGGAAAGUUUCGGCGGCUGGGGAUGGACUCGCGGCUUAUCAGCUUGUUGGUGGGGUAGUGGCUUACCAAGGCUUUGACGGGUAGCCGGCCUGAGAGGGUGACCGGCCACAUUGGGACUGAGAUACGGCCCAGACUCCUACGGGAGGCAGCAGUGGGGAAUAUUGCACAAUGGGCGGAAGCCUGAUGCAGCAACGCCGCGUGCGGGAUGACGGCCUUCGGGUUGUAAACCGCUUUCGCCUGUGACGAAGCGUGAGUGACGGUAAUGGGUAAAGAAGCACCGGCUAACUACGUG
rnacentral:rRNA from 1 species